AUGGUUAUUUUUCUUAAAUACUUUUCUGUCAUCAAACUUUUAAAUAAGAUUAGGCUUAAAAUGGUGAACCAAAAACAACUGAUAGCAGCACUAAGUGAUAUGUGUCGGGUCCCCGCUAUGAUAGCAGCAACAUUCACAAAUGCUUACAGAACAAGCGGGAACCCAGUGCCUGUAGCUUUCUCUAUUUCAGUUUUAUCACGUGAUAAAAAGUCUAAGGCCAUCUCAAGCCGAAGGGCAAACUCAUCUAAUCUGCGGCCUAUUAUGCAUCAAACUAAGAUUGAUAUAAAGACACAAAGCACUGCCAUCAAGUUAGCACUUUUAAACAUUCGCUCACUAAAAAAUAAAUCAUUUCUAAUCAAUGACUUUAUAACCACAAACAAUUUGGAUUUUAUGUUUCUAAAUCAAACAUGGCUUGAAGACAGCUGCAGUGCAACAAUCCUAAAUGAAGCAGCCCCUCCUAACUUCACUUACAUGAGUGUUUGCAGGACUGUUAGGAGAGGUGGGGGUGUAGCUGCUCUAUUUAAAGAUCUAUAUCAAUGCAAGCAAGUGUCAUUUGGUCAGUACUUGUCUUUUGAAUAUUUAGGGAUUGUGCUGAAAGGUGCUCCACGCAUUCUGUUUAUUAUUAUUUACAGGCCUCCAAAAUACUCUUCAGCAUUUGUUGAAGAGGUCACAGAAAUGUUAUCAAUGAUUUCCUCAGAGUUUGACUGUAUUGCAAUAGCAGGGGAUUUUAAUAUUCACAUAGAUAAUACAGAAAACAAAACUACAAAAGAAAUGAUAACGGUUUUAAACACUUUUGACUUGACUCAGCAUGUGCAUGGACCCACACACAAAGGUGGACACACUCUAGACUUAAUCAUCAGUAGGGGUCUAAACAUUUCAUCCAUUGUUAUUAAGGAUGUAGCACUAUCUGAUCACUUUUGUAUUUUAUUUGAUAUACUGAUCUCUGCUACAACUGAAUCUAGAUCUGUCUCUGUCAGAAGGAGAUGCAUAAACGAGAACACAAGUGUACUAUUUACGGAGGCUAUAUCUUUAACACGAAGCAUUUCUGCAGACUCUGUUGAUAUUCUCCUUGAUUCCUUCAACUCAAAAGUUAAGAAUGUUAUUGAUGAUAUUGCUCCAAUAAUAGUCAGUAAGAAAACAAACAGACAGAAAUCAGUUUGGAGAAGAUCAACAGCAGUUCAGACUAUGAAAAGACAAUGCAGAAAAGCAGAGAGGAUGUGGCGGAAGACAAAACUUGAAAUUCACUAUGGCAUCUAUAAAGACAGCCUUCAUGCUUAUAAUGUUAAACUAGCCACAGAUAGAAAGAAUUUCUUCUCAAACCUUAUAAACAGUAACUUAAAUAACACUCGUACUCUUUUUGCCACUGUUGAGAGACUGACAAACCCCCCAAGUCAGGUUCCCAGUGAAAUGCUAUCAGACAGCAAAUGCAAUGAGUUUGCUUCCUUCUUUUCUGAGAAGAUCAUCAAUAUCAGGAAGGCGAUUAGCACAUCCUCAAGUAAUGCAGAGGUCAGACAGAUUCGGCCACAAUAUCAAAAAGAUACAAUGUCUAUUUUUGAAACAAUUGAUAGCAAAAUUCUGGAAGACAUAGUGCAGCACCUAAAAUCAUCAACCUGCUGUCUUGACACACUUCCCACAUCUUUUUUCAAAAGUGUGCAUAACUGCUUAGAAGCAGAUCUUUUAGAGGUGGUGAACGCCUCACUUCUUUCUGGGACAUUUCCAAACUCCUUAAAAACUGCAGUUGUUAAGCCCCUCCUGAAAAAGAGCAAUCUUGAUAACACCAUUUUGAGCAAUUUUAGACCAAUAUCUAAUCUUCCUUUUAUAGGCAAAAUUAUAGAAAAGGUAGUUUUUAAUCAGAUGAACAAAUACUUAAACACAAAUGGAUACCUGAACAAUUUUCAAUCUGGUUUUCGACCGCAUCACAGCACAGAGACAGCACUCAUUAAGAUAAUAAAUGAUAUUAGCUUAAAUUGCGACUCUGGCAAAAUAUCGGUGCUGGUAUUGCUAGAUCUCAGUGCUGCGUUUGACACUGUCGAUCAUAACAUACUACUACAGAGACUGGAAAACUGGGUCUGGCUUUCUGGGGUGGUACUUAAAUGGUUCAGGUCAUACUUAGAAGAGAGAGGAUAUUAUGUGAGUCUAGGAGAGCAUAAGUCCGAAAUAUAA
rnacentral:lncRNA from 1 species